rnacentral:tRNA from 1 species
GCCCUUGUAGCUCAGUAGGUUCAGAGCAACACUCUUACAAAGUGAAGGUCAUAGGUUCGAUUCCUGUCAAGGGCA